AGUGAACGCUGGCGGUAGGCUAACACAUGCAAGUCGAACGGCAGCACAGGAGAGCUUGCUCUCUGGGUGGCGAGUGGCGGACGGGUGAGGAAUGCAUCGGAAUCUACUCUUUCGUGGGGGAUAACGUAGGGAAACUUACGCUAAUACCGCAUACGACCUACGGGUGAAAGCCGGGGACCUUCGGGCCUGGCGCGAAAGAAUGAGCCGAUGCCCGAUUAGCUAGUUGGCGGGGUAAGAGCCCACCAAGGCGACGAUCGGUAGCUGGUCUGAGAGGAUGAUCAGCCACACUGGAACUGAGACACGGUCCAGACUCCUACGGGAGGCAGCAGUGGGGAAUAUUGGACAAUGGGCGCAAGCCUGAUCCAGCCAUACCGCGUGGGUGAAGAAGGCCUUCGGGUUGUAAAGCCCUUUUGUUGGGAAAGAAAAGCAGUCGGUUAAUACCCGAUUGUUCUGACGUACCCAAGAAUAAGCACCG
rnacentral:rRNA from 1 species